CAAAGCACUGAGACUAGAUACAAGAGCAGGGCUACACCUCAGUCUGCAGGGCACAGGGACCAGCCUGCAGGGGCUACAGUUUUCACUACAGCAAGGAGGAGGCAUUGCCCUGAACUCAUAGCCAAGUUUUAAAACCUUUCUGAGGUCCGGACCAUCAGCAGAAUAUGACCAAGGCUUUCCCUCCCUUUCAGACAGUUAUAGUCAUGCCUUUGGGCGCCAGGGUCCAGAGAAGGAGCUAUGGAGCUGGCUGCUGCUGCCAAGGUCCUUUCCUGACACUUGGUCUUGCUGUGCCUGCUGUCUGUCCCUGUUCAGGGAGACAAGGUAGACUCUUCAGCUAAGGGCAAGAAGCCACAUGCUGCACCCAAAUACCAAAAAACAACCUCUGCACUACAAACUGAAAUUCUUCUCCUCUGAAACCUCUUGGGCCAGCAGGAAGAUUCACUCACACAGGCCCCAGCCCCCUGCACCUCUGUGAAAGACAUAGCAUGAUGAUGUCUCCUGCUCUUGUGGAAGCAUUUCAUCUCACCACCCUGUUGGAUGUCCCCUAGCAAGUGACAAGUCUCCAUGUCAGGAGAGAACUCUAGCUCUUAGGUCCAGGAGCUCCAGAGGCAAGCACAGCACUCUAGUUUGCAGCUGUCUUCAACUGUGUCUCUAAUCUGAGCCUACCCCACUACCCCUGUGGGGGAGGGGGAUGUCCAUAAAUGUGCUCUGUAAAAUGAGGGUGCAUGGGGGAGACCUUUGAUUCCUGUCCAUUUGUAGUUCUAAGACCUGGCUGGUUUAAAAGUCAGGCUUGUAAGUUUAAUUUUACAAAUAUCAGGGGUAGGAGCUAUGCUGUCUGGCUUAUGACUUUCAUGAAGGCACUAGGAAGGCAAAGGCAGGAGAAUCUCUGUGAGUUCUAGGCCAGCCAGCCAUGAGACUUAUUCAAAAAGAUGAAAUUGGGCUGUAGGGGUGGGGCUGGAAAGGACAGUGGUCUGACUUCCCAGGCAAGUGUCCUGUGUCAGAAGCAAACCUGCCCUGUAGAGAUGUGAUGCUUGCCUGCCUGAUCUGGUUUGGUUUCUGUCCUCCUGGCCACAGAGUCUCUGUAAGUUUAGUGUUUUCUUUAAUCAGGG